AGACAAUAAAAACGAACGUGAUUGGCACGCUAAAUAUGCUUGGUCUUGCAAAGAGAGUUGGCGCAAGAGGUAUACGGUGAUCCUCUUGUGCAUCCUCAACCUGAGACUUACUGGGGUAACGUCAACCCAAAUGGAACAACUACGACUUCUACAACUAAUGGCACACCAUAUUGGAUACCCGAUGUUGAUGCUGAAUACAUGCCUAUUAUAAACAUUACGUUUAACCAUUGGGAGGAUGUUGAUU